UACGUAGGGUGCAAGCGUUAAUCGGAAUUACUGGGCGUAAAGCGUGCGCAGGCGGUUCUAUAAGACAGAUGUGAAAUCCCCGGGCUCAACCUGAGAACUGCAUUUGUGACUGUAGAGCUGGAGUACGGUAGAGGGGGAUGGAAUUCCGCGUGUAGCAGUGAAAUGCGUAGAUAUGCGGAGGAACACCGAUGGCGAAGGCAAUCCCCUGGACCUGUACUGACGCUCAUGCACGAAAGCGUGGGGAGCAAACAGG
rnacentral:rRNA from 1 species